UGGAAGUCAAGGGGCACUGCACAGGACUCCAGGGUAGAUAAGACUCCAUAUCUCGGGACAAGGGAACCCAGAAGCCUGACAUGCUGGAAAAGGACACGAUUGGAGAAACUGGUUGUUUUUACCAAGGCUUUAACUGGAAGGGUAUGCUUCCCUUUAAGGAAUCAAGGUUGACUUGCAGAGCCAAUAAAAGCCCCUUGGGAAUAUUCACCUCAUAUCUUGUCUACACAGUCUCCUUAUAGGUUUCCUAACCUGUGUUUCCAGCUUAUUCUCAUUCUUCUUGGAUGUGGUACAAGAGUUCAGGAACUACUGUACAUGGAUUCAAGCUACAACACAGAGUCAAGAAACUUAUUAUAUUUGAGCUAUUAAUAGUUACAGCAAUUUGGACAAAGUAUGCUCUUGUGAGCAAAACUGAAAUAUUUACCUUUCUCUCUCUACCUGAAUUCUCCAGAAUGCAGAAACUAUCAGGGAUUAUCUUUAUUUUAUGGCAAUAUAGUUAUCUGUAUAAGUUCAAUAAGAAUAUGUUUUCUUUUCUAAUAGAACACAAUUGAAAAUGCUGGUUAUUUUACCAAGGCUUUGACCUGAAUGACAUAUUUUCAGAUAUGAACAAAUUGCUUUGAGAAAUUGAAUUUGACUUACAGAGCUGAUAAAAGUUUCCUUUAAAAGACUGGCCUGGCACCUUGUCUACAUGGUUUCCUUACAAGAUUCCUGACCUUGUGGUGUGUAAAGAAUGUCACUUGUUAACACUCCCAAGAUCUGCAAGAUAUUUUAGAAACUUAAGAUUUUUUUGUGACCUCGAGAUAAAUGGAAUUCACCCAGUUUGAAUAGGUAUCACAGGCACAAUCUAGUGGCAAAAAUUUCUCUUGGAUUUUUGGCCUUGAGGGGCUUUUAAAAGUCUAAUCUGGUAUUUCUUAUGAAAAAGUUCUAGAAAAGCCGGUUGAAAACAGUCUAUAUGUUCAAUUACUAUUUUUGAUGUACUUUAUUAAAAAAAAUCAGACCAAGUAUAAUAAAACUAAAGCUUAUUUCAAAAAUAAAUUGGUAUUAAUAUGUGGUGAAAAAAUGGGACUGGAGGGAGAAAUAUUAUGUUUUGGAAAAAAAAAACAACUAAAUUACACCUAUUAUUAGAUUAUAGUCCUAAUCAUUGUUUUUGAGUUGUAUUCUUUGCCUAUAAUUUGGGCUGAAUUCUUUCCUGGGUACAAAUGUCCAAACUAAUGUGUUCAAAAUUUCCUCCCAGUUUUCUCACAUGAAAUCACUAGAAAUUAAAACUUUGAUUUUUCUGAAGCCCUGCAAACUAAAGCUAGACAACUUAAUAUAAACUUAGCAGAGAUCACUAUAACAGCUUAUAUAUAAACAGCCUUCAUGCCUGUUGAUGUGUGAACUACUCAA
rnacentral:lncRNA from 1 species